GUACGGCGAAAAAAGUUGUCCGAUGCGCGGAACUAGAUGCCAAAUUUGAGAGCCUAGUCUGUCUGUGCCAAAAAUGAAAAGUCAAAAAAGGAAUAGCGCAACAAUGUGCGAUGGGAGAAAGAGACCCGUGCAGCGCCCAGGUGUGAUUUUGCGAUCUGUGGUGUGUUCCGGCUCGAUUUGGAUGCGCGAGUGGUUCUGUGGUGAUCUUCAGCCGAAACGCAGCAAUUCAUGACUGGUUCUGGUGUCAUGUGCUGGUUCCAGCAGUUGCGCAUGAGGCGGUGGGUGGCACUCUGGUGGCGACACGUGGUGAACUGGGAGCACAAGGGUGGUGGCACGUGGCGACUCCAGUGAACGGGAUCACGUGCCCAAAAUAAAACUAGUUUUUUUUUAUUAGGUUCAUUUCUAAAAAUCUCUUGUCAUUUAAUAUGUGUGUUAUGUAUUUGUAAAUGAGAAAAUUAACCAAGUAGUAGUGAAGAUUUAGAAGAGAGUGUAG
rnacentral:lncRNA from 1 species